rnacentral:rRNA from 1 species
UACGGAGGAUGCAAGCGUUAUCCGGAAUGAUUGGGCGUAAAGCGUCCGCAGGUGGCAAUGUAAGUCUGCUGUCAAAGCGUCUGGCUCAACCAGAUAAAGGCAGUGGAAACUACAUAGCUAGAGUAAGGUAGGGGUAGAGGGAAUUCCUGGUGUAGCGGUGAAAUGCGUAGAUAUCGAGAGGAACACCUGCGGCGAAAGGCGGGUUGCUGGGGCUGAUACUGACGCUGAGGCGCGAAAAGCGUGGGGAGCAAACAGG